GAUGAACGCUGGCGGCGUGCCUAAUACAUGCAAGUCGAGCGAAUGGAUUAAGAGCUUGCUCUUAUGAAGUUAGCGGCGGACGGGUGAGUAACACGUGGGUAACCUGCCCAUAAGACUGGGAUAACUCCGGGAAACCGGAGCUAAUACCAGAUACGUUCUUUUCUCGCAUGAGAGAAGAUGGAAAGAUGGUUUCGGCUAUCACUUACAGAUGGGCCCGCGGCGCAUUAGCUAGUUGGUGAGGUAAUGGCUCACCAAGGCGACGAUGCGUAGCCGACCUGAGAGGGUGAUCGGCCACACUGAGACUGAGACACGGCCCAGACUCCUACGGGAGGCAGCAGUAGGGAAUCUUCCGCAAUGGACGAAAGUCUGACGGAGCAACGCCGCGUGAACGAUGAAGGCCUUCGGGUCGUAAAGUUCUGUUGUUAGGGAAGAACAAGUACCAGAGUAACUGCUGGUACCUUGACGGUACCUAACCAGAAAGCCACGGCUAACUACGUGCCAGCCGCCGCCGUAA
rnacentral:rRNA from 1 species